ensembl:lncRNA LINC02627 long intergenic non-protein coding RNA 2627
AGUAUAAAGAGUGCCAGGCAACGGCCAAUGGCUUCUACAAUCCCUUUCAUCCUGGACAGUCCAGUGUUGUGAUACCCUGACACCAAGACCCUUCCUUGGUUGUCUGGCACAGUGCUGCCACAUACCAUCUCAGGAACUUUCAUUUAUUUCCCUUUGUGUCCAAACAUCAGAAAGGCUUUCUGAGUUGCUUGCCAAGGUGUUCUUCAGCCUUCCCUAGGCUAAACUUCUCCAUUGGAUCAAUAGCAGGUGGUCAACAAAGACAAAAACACCAUCUUCAGAAUGACUCAGAUCAUCCUCUUGGGCAGCCCUUUUUGGAUAUCUCUAUGAAAUUCUGCAGCUGAAAGCUGACACGCAUAAUUAUUUCCUGUUAGAUACUGAAGAAAAAAAAAAGCCCAGGAGAUAUUGUCGAGACUGUUUCUGGGGUGUGAUUGGGGGAUAGGAGAUGAGUAAGUAAUGAAGACUUUCCUGCAUAAUAGCAAUAUUGUUAUUCAUACUGUAUGACAAUUAUUAGUUAUUAGUUACUUACAUUUUCUCAAAACACAAUACCAUUCUAAUCCAUCUGUGCCCAAUUUAGAGAGUAGCUCUAACUUCUUCCAUAAUAUUAUUGCUGUAAUUUUUUGUGAAUACCUCCUAGACCAUUCAGUGGACAGCAAACAGUGGCCAGCUCAGGAGACACUGAUAAGGACAGAGAAGCCACAAAAGAUUUACACUUGAAAGCAAGAUUUAGUUUAUUCUAGAGGUGCCCAGAAUCAGGGAAAUAGAUAGAAAUUGUGAGGUUAGAGAUUUAGACUUAACAUAUUAAAGCAUUUUAAACUACAUCAAGUUAUCUGAAAAUAGUCUGGGCUUUCUUGGGAGUUGAUGAGUUACCUGUCAAAAGAGGUGUUCUGGAAGACAUUGGGGCAGGGGGUGGGACAGAGGUGGAUGAGGAGAAAUUACUUUUUUUUUUUUUUAAGACAGAGUCUUGCUCUGUCACCCAGGCUGGAGUGCAAUGACGCGAUCUCGGCUCACCGCAAACUCCGCCUCCCGUGUUCAAGUGAUUCUCCUGCCUCAGCCUCCCAAGUAGCUGGGAUUACAGGCACCCGCCACUACGCCCAGCUAAUUUUUGUAUUUUUAGUAGAGAUGGAGUUUCACCAUGUUGGUCAAGCUGAUCUCAAACUCCCGACCUCAGGUGAUCUCCCCGCCUCAGCCUCCCAAAGUGCUGGGACUACAGGUGUGAGGCACCCUGUGCUGGUGAUGAGAAAUUAGUUAAUGGGGACAGUGUACUUUUUUUCUGGUGAUGGAUACCCUAAAAGCCUGACUUUGCUGCUAGGCAAUCUAUACAUGUAACAAAAUUGCACUUGUACACCAUAGAUUUUUACAAAACAAAAUACAUAAAUCUAUUUUUUAAAAAAGAAUACAUUGGAUUACCAUCUGUAGGUAGUCGGUACUGAAACAACUUCUAUAGGUUGGUCCAUAACCUCCCAGGUCACAGGUCACUUUUAGCCUAGCGACAUAAGGCAAUUUUAUGCCUCUGAAACUCUAAAAAGAAAUCUGUUCAUAUUUAUUAAAAUUUUAAUAAUGGUUUACACU